AGAUUUGUUGGGGCUGGUGACAUAGCUCAGCAGUCAGUGCCUUUAACCUCUGAGCCGUCUCUCCAGCCCUUCCAAGCAUUUUUCAUAAAUUAGUUAGACGGUGGAUUCGUGUGGUAAGAAAGUCAGCGGGAGGCUGGACAUACUACUCAGUGGUAGAAUGCUGGCAUACUCAAGGCUCUCAGUUCAAACUCUAGCACCACACACACACACACACACACACACACACACA